CUCUUCCGCCUCCUCCUCAGUGCAGCGAACAUGUAGAGCCAAGCGAUCAUUGCCACUGUUUUGUUUUUGGGCCUGUAUGGGAACUUUUGAGUCACCUGAGGCAAGGACUAGGUCAGCACUGGGAGCACAGGUGAAGGGAAUUCAGCUGUGUGACCAAAAGGGGUGGAACCAGGCUCCACCUCUCCUAGACCCUAGUUAUGUGCUGACUACAACUGGAGAAGGAGCUUUUUCUGGAGAUUGCUCCUUUUUGGAGUUUUCUACUACGAGCCUAGAUCCUUGGAUACGGGGAUGGCCACUGUUUCACAGCCGCCAACCCCCCGGAUUCCAUGGAAAACUGAUGAGCUGGUGUGGGUUGAGCAGUUGUCAUGGUUUUGUAACUUCGCUAUUGGUAUUCCACAUCAUAACAUCAUGGACAAAAGAGAAGAACUACGUAUCCCAGAGGACCUCACGGUCAGAGAAGGAAGACACAUCACGGA